AGUCUCCACGUGGGGCCCGAGGUAGGGUUGGUGCAGUGACCCCCCACAGGAGUCAAGUGUAUCCAGCAGCACGGGGACCACACAGUGUCUAAACAUGGUGACAAUGCUGAAUUUUACCUGGGUCUUGUGAUCCUCUAAAUCCUCUAAGUGAUGGUAAGAAACACCAGAGCCAUUUAUUAGUAAUGUGGAAGACAGCUGAGGGUAAAGAACCACUCUCUUCAUAAGGCUUAGAUGAGACUCACGGUGCCCCCUUAUUUAUCUUAAGAGCAGACAGAGUCCUCUGAAUUCCCACUCCUUAUCUGCUUACCUUAUGCUUCCCUCUUCUCCACUCCUCACAACAAAACGCCUGUUAGUCCAUCUUUGCUAAACUGUACUUCUUUCCUCCAAGUUCCUGAAUCUCGACCUCACCCUAAAACAGAAUGCAGCCCUUCCUUAACACUCCCCACAAGAACAGGCUGUUCUUAGGGUCACACAUUCUCUUUCAUGUUGUGACCAAGCUACCCUUUCAUCCCACUUGCAUAGAUUUUGUUCUUUAUAGCUAUGUUUACUUCCUAUUAUAAAAAAGAAAGAAAGAAAUUUUCCCCUAAAACCUCCGUUAUAAACUUGGGUUCAUUACGCGAUCAGAGUUAUCCUUGCGGAAAUAGGCAAUAGUCCGUUCUCCUCCUUACAAUAUUCUUUCCGAUUUCUUUUUUUUUUUCUUUACUAAGUCUGGAUUUGUUUUUUUAUUUGACAGUGAUGAGAAAAAAAAAAAAGACCUGAGUGGAAAAACUCACAAGACUUCCUGAAACGUGAGUUAGCCUCCUGGAGAACUUCAGAAAGAGGAAGGAUCAUGUGAAGAAGACUAAUUAUUCACAGCUCUCAAAUGGCCAUAAUUUGGGUAUUAAAUAUGAAAUGCAUUGUUAUUUUGUGAACAGAUUUUGAGAACAGGACAUUUGAGUGACAUUCAAAUAUUUUUCAAUAGGAAAGACACCGCAGGUGUCACACUCAGGCAGCUGACAGCAAUUCUUGCGCCAACAUUGGGAAUUGCUCUAACAUUAAAAUCUCGCCUCUUAUGAGGAAUACGCAGUUAAGGAAAAAAAAAAUCCUUAUCUCCAAAGGCAAACAUUUUGCCUUUGGCAGGACAGAGCUAGAAAUAACUCCUCUUUUCCCACACGCCAGGAAAGAAAAUCCCUAAAUCUUCUCUCAAAGGUGACCCCAAUACCUCUGACACACUAGAAAAGUCAACACGUCCUUCCUGCCUUUGCCACUUGGAUGUCUCAACCUUCUCUAGUUGAAGCUGUGUCAAUCAUCAACAAAAGCAACAAAUUAACUUGUCAACUCUUACAUUGACUUAGUUAACCAUGUCAUCCUUCAGAGUAAGAAAUAGCAGGUAUGAAGGGAAAGGAGUACUUUCAGAGUCACACAGACCUAGAUUCAAAUCCAGCCUCUGGCACCUACCUCUGCGGUCAUCUUGAAGGAAAGGUACAUGUUGGUGUGUUCUUUGCACAUGUAUAAACGGAUUUACUUCCUGAUUUGCCUGCCAAGAAGGUCUACAAGUAGUGUGAGCUCAGCAGCAAUGAGCAUGCCAAGCACCCAGAUCUUGGAUUCUAAAUAUCCUUCUUAACUAAAUGCUUUUUGGAAAACAGACUGAUUUGAAGGCUGCAACAAGAACAGGACAAGAAUUUGGGGGCCUUAUUUUGUGCUGAAAAUACAGUACAAGGGGUUGUCACAGAAUGAUGAGUGUUUGUCAAAAGGUUCAAGAGCCAUUUUGGAAGCAGGCCUAAUGGCUGAUUAUGAAAUCAUUAAAGUAUGCAUAUAAAGACAAUAAUCGAUUGCAACCUGUUUAAUAUCACCAGAGUUCGUAAGUUUUUACUGAAGUAAAUAAACAUAUACAUAAAUUAACUGAGA